UACGUAGGGGCAAGCGUUGUCCGGAUUAUUGGGCGUAAAGCGCUCGCAGGCGGCUCGAUGCGUCGUGCGUGAAACACCCCGGCUCAACUGGGGAGGGUCGUGCGAUACGGUCGGGCUUGAGGCCAGUAGGGGAUGCGAAAUUCCGGGUGUAGUGGUGGAAUGCGUAGAGAUCCGGAGGAACACCAGCGGCGAAGGCGCAUCCUGGACUGGUACUGACGCUCAGGAGCGAAAGCGUGGGGAGCGAGUCCGG
rnacentral:rRNA from 1 species